GGUAGAAGAGCAGCGUCAGAGCGCUGAGGAUCGCCCUCAGGCUGUGACUGGACGCUCCCUCCCUCAGCUGAGACAAACCGAAGCCCUGCACAGACACACACAGACAGACUUGGUGGUGACACUUUAAAGGCGAUGUACUGACCCUGUUCCCUGAGAAUCCGAUGAACUCCAACAACCUGAGAAUCCUCUGAGGGAGGAGCGACAACAUCUGAAAUCCACAGAGACAGUUAAGAAUUUAA